CAAUAUCUAUAGAUGCUAGCUGUGAUCCAGCUGUCUCCAUUUGUCCACAAAGCUAAAUUUCUAUUAUUAAAAACCAGAAGAAUAACGCUUUCUCACAUCCACCUUUCUUAUAGACAGGUAUUCAGGUUUGUGUGUGAUAUCAGGUAAACAAGGCAAAACAUGUAGUACAACCUGCAUGAUGUUUGGACUCCUGCUGGAAGAAUCCAGGAUUCAUCUGUAAGAUGCAGAUGAUGGAAAAAUGAACCGGCUCAUCUUGACAGCAGGCAGUACUGCAUUGCCAUCUGGUACAAAGAGAAAGGUGUUCCAACAUGGCUAUGGAUGGCUGCAAGUUGGAGGAUGAGAUUACAGGAGAGGACUUAUGGAAAGAAGAAAUGAAAGUAUCAGCCCCCCCAACAAAGAAACUCUGAGAGCUCAUGGCCCUAUAUGUCAGAUGUUAAAGCUACAGCUGCAAUGGUCAAACAGAGCUUCUCGAACACAGCAGCAUUAUUUCACUGAUGCGACCCACAGCAGAAUUUUCCAUGGCUCAGCUGACUUUGUGUUGAUUGUUUCCUCCAGUUUUACAGCAGAAAGGUCAAAGUUCUGCUCCACACACUGAUUUUCCAGCUGGUAGCAACCCAAUGAGAUAUGUGUAGUCACAAGUGCCUGUGUGUGUUAGAAGGAUGACCUUAUUUUAAAUAAAGUUAACUCUAAAAG